GUACACUCCUGCGGGAGGCAGCAGUGGGGAAUUUUGGACAAUGGGCGAAAGCCUGAUCCAGCAAUGCCGCGUGAGUGAAGAAGGCCUUCGGGUUGUAAAGCUCUUUUGUCAGGGAAGAAAUGGUGAGAGCUAAUAUCUCUUGCUAAUGACGGUACCUGAAGAAUAAGCACCGGCUAACUACGUGCCAGCAGCCGCGGUAAUACGUAGGGUGCAAGCGUUAAUCGGAAUUACUGGGCGUAAAGCGUGCGCAGGCGGUUUUGUAAGUCUGAUGUGAAAUCCCCGGGCUCAACCUGGGAAUUGCAUUGGAGACUGCAAGGCUAGAAUCUGGCAGAGGGGGGUAGAAUUCCACGUGUAGCAGUGAAAUGCGUAGAUAUGUGGAGGAACACCGAUGGCGAAGGCAGCCCCCUGGGUCAAGAUUGACGCUCAUGCACGAAAGCGUGGGGAGCAAACAGGAUUAGAUACCCGGGUAGUCCC
rnacentral:rRNA from 1 species